ensembl:lncRNA
GCCCCGGCUUUGACCCCCUGGCCCCGGCAGAGCCGCCUCCCAGCCUGCCCCUGGGGAGGGGCCACCUGGUGUCAAUUAAGCCCCAGCCACAAGGCUCACGCCACGCCAGGCGGCUGAUUAGUGCCGCUGGCCUCUCCAGAUGGGGAGCACGGCCUGAGAGGGGCGCCUGCCACCACGCCAGGAGACGGCCUCGCCGGAGCCGGUGACAGCCCCAGGCCAGGUCCUUCCCUCCCGGAGCCUCUGCUUGGUCGGCUCUCCGCUGUGGAUGCUACCUGGGGCUCCCUCCUGGAACAGUGGGUAGGACUUGCAUGUGAUCCGAGUGGCCCCAUUCCUGGGACACACGGAUCACUGGAUUUUCAGCCAGGCAUAAAAUGAUUCUGGGAAAGGAGACGGCAAAUUUCAGAAGAAAGAAGGCUUUCUCGUAUCAUUCUGAGUUUGAUGACUUGCUUCCCAAGUGCCAUUCCUGUUCAAAAAGAGAAUCCAUUUCCUGUGAGAGGGAAGUUUCUAAAGCCACUCCCUUCACUCAAGCCUCUUUAUGACCAUCCAUGGCUUCUCAGUUUCUUGGGACAAAGUCCAAGCUCAACUCAAGGCCCUGGACUCUUGCCAGCUCUCUCAUUCCUCCCAGCUUCACUUCACAUAGUCCAUCCAGACAGGACAGAACUUUUCCCCCAGCUCAGCACAUUUCCUCUUGCCCUCGCCUCUGCACCUGUGGCUCCUGCUGCCAGGACAGCCUAUCUCCCCACAGAGCAUCCCCUGCUGGUCCUUCCUGCCUCAGCGUAGACAUUGCCUCUGGCAGGAACUCUUGCUGGACUCUCCUAGGUCUUAUGUCCUCCCUUAGACUCUCAUACACACUCCACCGUAUCCCACCCAUAUCAUGCCAAAUUGAAAACACCUGUUUACUUGUUUGUCUGUCUCUCUUGAAUGUAAAUUCUUUGGAAGUGGGAUCCAUAGGUUAUUCAGUGAUAGGUCACAACAAUGUCUAGCACAAUGC